UACGAAGGGGGCUAGCGUUGUUCGGAUUUACUGGGCGUAAAGCGCACGUAGGCGGAUCGUUAAGUCGGGGGUGAAAUCCUGGAGCUCAACUCCAGAACUGCCUUCGAUACUGGCGAUCUUGAGUCCGGAAGAGGUGAGUGGAACUCCUAGUGUAGAGGUGGAAUUCGUAGAUAUUAGGAAGAACACCAGUGGCGAAGGCGGCUCACUGGUCCGGUACUGACGCUCAGGUGCGAAAGCGUGGGGAGCAAACAGG
rnacentral:rRNA from 1 species